rnacentral:lncRNA from 1 species
AGAGAGUAUUUUUGUUGCUUACAACCUAAUUAUUAGUUUCAAGUUUCCAGUCUUGAAAUGUGUACAUUUAGAUAUUGCUUUUAAAAUGUAGAUGUUUGAUAUAUUAUAUGAUAAUGGUGUUCCAUUUGUAUUAAAUAAUCGAUCGUUUGAUAACUUCUUGAUGCUGCAAAAUAAAGAGUUUAGACAGACUAUGAUUGACUAAGCAAUUUUUAAGGAAUGAACUGCAAU